UAAAAAAAAAGAAAAAAAAAAAGGAAAAACAAAACAAAAUGUUAUUUUGCUUCUUUUUUUUUCUUCUUCUUUUAUCUUUUUUUUUUUUUUU
rnacentral:ribozyme from 1 species